AAAUUGAAGAGUUUGAUCAUGGCUCAGAUUGAACGCUGGCGGCAGGCCUAACACAUGCAAGUCGAACGGUAACAGAAAGAAGCUUGCUUCUUUGCUGACGAGUGGCGGACGGGUGAGUAAUGUCUGGGAAACUGCCUGAUGGAGGGGGAUAACUACUGGAAACGGUAGCUAAUACCGCAUAACGUCGCAAGAUCAAAGAGGGGGACCUUCGGGCCUCUUGCCAUCGGAUGUGCCCAGAUGGGAUUAGCUUGUUGGUGGGGUAACGGCUCACC
rnacentral:rRNA from 1 species